CAGCCAGACUGCAGCAGCAUGUUAACUUUAAUUCUUCAGGGCAAAUAUUGACAAGUGGUAUAGCUCAUAGAGUGGUUCCAUGUCCAGUCUUUUGAGGAAUCUGAAUACUGAUUUACAAAGUGAUUGUACUAAUUUACUAUCCUACAACAAUGUAAAAGUGUUCUUUGAUUUCCACACUCUCUUCAGUCUUUAUUAGCAUUUGUGUUCUUGAUUUCUGACUGGUAUGAGAUGAAAUCUCAGUGUAGCUUUGAUUUCCAUUUCCAUAAUUGAAAAUCUUGUUGACCAUGUUUUCAUGUAUUUGUUGACCAUUUGUAUUUCUUCUUUUUAGAAGUAUCUGUCUGGUUCAUUUACCCAUGUAUCAAUUGUUUUUUAGUUUAUAUAUUCUGGAUGUUAAUCUUCUGUUGGAAGAUUAGCGAGGAAAGAUUUUUUUCCCAUUCUGUAGGUUCUUUCUUCACAUUCUUAAUUGUUUCCUUUUAUGAUCAGAAGAUUUUAAAUUUGUUGUCAUCCCAUUAAUUAACUCU
rnacentral:lncRNA from 1 species